GGUAUCUUAGGUACUUAGGUAGCCACCGACUGAGGACAUAGCUGACUAUUUCCUUCGUCUCCGACAGAGUGUCCGGUGGUCGACAGUGGCCUGGUAUCCGACUGUUGGGACUUAGCACAGUCUAAUGCUACCCUCCUUUUCCUUGAUGGGCCAAAGGUUGAGCCCCUUGGCCCACUACCUUCUGGGUCGUAUCUUAUAUGAGUCUUGGGCCUUUGGUGGGCCACUUGUAUACAUUAGUCUACCCCGCAUUUGUAACCCAACACCCUUCGUAUCAUAAUAUAUGACGUUUUUGUAGCUUAAUUUGUACAAAGGUAGAAUAAGAUAAGAAGAAGGUAAUAUAUGAAGAAGAAAAACGAAUAUCCAAUUCUAAGCCCCGACUCAUCUGCACCCAGUAACAGUAAAUUAAAAAAAAUCAAAAAAGUCCGCUUUUUGCGCGGAAGAUAUUUUAGUGUGUGAGUUGUGUGCCAAAUUUUAAAGCAUUUGUAAACCUGAGUAGCUCUCAGCAAGAGAAAAACAAAAUCGGAUCAAAAAAGUACACAAACAUUAAACUUUUUCACGUAUCCCAAAAUUUUCUUUCUUACUGAGAGAUACUUAGACAUUUAAAUGCUAUGAGAUUUGGCAUGGACAUCACACACUCAGUCAUCUUUCUCCACAAAAAGAAAAUUGUUUUUUUAAUUUAUUUUGUAUUUUUAAGGAUUUUUUUACUCCCGGGCUCCAAAACGCCUCGUCCGAAGAAAAAAUAAAUAGAGAUAUCUCUCUAGUUACUAAGCUCCCGAGAAAUAGCGAUCCCACAACGAUCGUGAGUUUUUUACUGCCGUGCCCCUGCCUGUAAGAUGUAGAAAUGUUGUGUUUCCACCGUCUGGGCCCAACUGUUGUGCUUGCGUUGCCAUAUUGUCGGUUCCCGACGGCCCAAGGUAUUGUUUACAUGGGCCUUGAGUCCUUGACCACCGCUAUCUGCAGAGGUGAGGUGUUGCGUAGAUGGUGAAGACUGAAAAACCUGGCGUGUUGCGCUGCGCUACCCUGCCUUGCCUCAUUGCGCCGCUGUCUAUGCGGAAUGGCCGUCGGAUCGGUUCCUUGCCGGACUACGGGGCUGCCUCCGCCGGUGCUCAUGUUGCGGAGAGGCUGCGGGUGAGACUGGAGACGCGUGCCUCGUGGAAAAUCCAUGCGUUCCUCCCUUUCCCCCAAAUCACGAGCAGAGCUAGAGAGAGAUGGAUACUCGAGGAGGGCGAUUACGGCGAUGGAUUCACCGAGCGAGGCCUGAGACAUGGAUUGUGUCGCGGUCGGGGUGUCAUCUGGGCAGCUGCGAGGAUGAGCCGCAGCAGGGCCAUCAAUGCGCCUUGGCACCUGUGCAGAUUCGGCCAUGGGGGUGGCUCAGCACCAUGUGGCUGGGCGCGGGUAAGAUGGAUAUGGCGGUAGCCUUUGACCUUUUGCCCCCUCCGCAUACUCGUCCCUGUCACAGUGGCACUCCCCUUGCCUUGGGUUUGAGCUCUUCUUGCAAAUUCUCCUCGUUGCUGCCACUCCUCCAAGUCGUCCCAGCUGUAGUAGCCGCCGCAGUCUAUAAAAGGGAAGUAGGAGAAUCAACAUGCAAGCAUGAGACAAGGUUCAGAUCUUGAAGAGUCACAAUGAGAUCCACGUGCACAUUUGUUUGACAUCGCACAGUUAGUUUUCCACUGCGCUCAAAUUAUGUAGCUGAUAGAUACACAUGAUAGAUGCAUGUUCUGUUAUAACAUGCAAUGUUCUACUAAUGAAGCAUUCCUCAAAUUGAAUCACUUUAGGAUGUGCACGGACAGAUAUGAUUAAAUAUUCUUGUUCACAUCUAUUUCUGUUUAUCCUACUGUUUACGCACCUAUCCAAAUGAUUAAAUAUUUCUAAUGGGAUUUACACGCACAGAUACACCUCAUGGUUGUAGGGUUUUUCUUUGUGUUCCUCCUACAUGCAUGAGCUGAGAUGUUGGUAUAUGCAAAUCAGUCAGAAACAACCAUUUGGUGGCAUCUUUGCCAGGGUAUCAUUGGACUAAUUUUAAGGUGUACCAUCAAUUUUUGUUAAUAUUAGCAUUUGGAGCAUACCAAAAAGUAAACCUUCCUCUCUUUAUUCAUGCUGCCUUAGCUCUCAUCUAUCUUGAGAUUAUGUGAUUCUUUAGGCAACUCAUGGCAAGAAACUUUUGUGAUAGCAAAAUCUAUCUAUCAAACUUACUGACCCAGAACAAGCUGUAGCGCAAGUGCUUUACUCUAUUUUAGUUCUUUCUUUGUUGCUUCAUUCCCCUCUUUUCUCAUGUGAUUGCGUACGUUGUUUCAGUUUGUUCACUCCAUGCUUCCAUUCCUACUGGUGUUUGAAUGUUGUGUGUUGUCUAUGGUGUCUUCUGUGAGAAGGGGCAUGCAGUGGUGUUCUCUGUGGAGGGGAGCUAUUUGCUUGCCAUGGUUGGGGUCUUUUGCAUCGGUCUUCUCUGGUCUGCUUGUGGGUGGAGGGGUUUGGGUGGUUUUCAGUUGCUGGACUUCGUCGACCUGCCUGCCUUCCUACGCUCCAUCUGAAGGUUUGGUUUCGCGUGCUGAUGUGAAUUUGGGGAACAAUUACAAUAUAUGUGCUUCUAUUAGUAAGCUAUUUAAAUCAUGUUUCCUAAAAAUUAAGUAUGUUGUUUACAUAUAAAAUGCAACAUUUCAGCAAGCUUUGGAGCAUGAUAUCGGUUUCGGUACUACACCAUGCAUAGUCACGUACUUGAAAUAUAACACACUUACAAGUUAGAAUUAAAACAAGAUCACCAAUAGAAGGUCUUCACGUUCUAUCUGGGUUUUAACAAAAAAGAGUCAAACAAAGCAUGGUUAUGAAUGUGGCAGUAGACUAUGACUAUGUAACAUGCUACUAAAGAUCCUCACCCAAAUUCUCAGGUUAAAUAUGUACUCUUUAACAAGAAUGAAAAUACUAUGUGUGUCCAUUUGGUAAGAUUGUGUUGAAAAUCACAUUAAAUGAUUGUGUUGAUACUAUUUAUCUGUUCAAAUGUAUCAUUACUCUUAAUGUUGUUAGUUAUGUACACUCCUUAGCUGCCGUGUUGACAUGCUCGGUACCAAAUUUUCUGUUUACUAGAAAGUAAAUAACUUCUUAAUUCAACAUUGGAUCUAUUUAAUAAUAUUUUGAUAUAAUGAUCAAUUAGUUUGGAGGUUAUAUUGGGAUUAAGGGAGACAAUUUCAGCGUAGAUCAGGUCCAUAUGAAAUAGCCUGUAGGUCUGGCAUUUUCCUCUAUAUAUAUGUUCUCAUCUACCACUAAUUACACAACAACUGUGAAGAAGAAUGGCUAAACUUGAAGUACAUCGGAAUUUUACAAACACUCUACCUAUGUGAGCACUUAGUUAUAGGGUACAUCUUCUGCCAAAUCUAUCUGUCUUAUUUGACAAUAUAUCUGUGGUGGAACAAUUUUUCUAUAUCUUCUUUCUAAAGUAUGUAAGUACAGAUUACGGAAGAAUCAACACUUGCGUUACAUAUAUAUUAUGAAUCUCAUAGUUUUGUCUACUGCUGAUGACAACAUGAACAUUUACUGUGGGCCACGAUGGCCAUGGAUGCGAAAUGUGGUGAUGGUCCUGGCUGAGAAAAUCAACUAUAUCUUGGAGUUUUAAUUUGGUAAAAUAUGACCCCCUCACCGCCAAAGACACAGAUUCGUAUGUACCGGUAACUCAAUAAUAACUUCAUUACAGAUUUGUGUGCACCAGGUAAUUGUAUAAUAGCUUCGGCCACUGAUGUGAGAAGUUGCUUAUUGUAUUUUUCUGAUCCUACAACAUAUUUGAAUACAUCAAUUUGGUGACUAUUCAUAAGUGCAACAUCUUCACGUGUAUUAGUAACCCAUCCUACAUAUUGGAAUUAUUUUUAUUUCCUCGUGAUUUGAUCUGUCCUUGUAUGUGAUUCUUAGUUAUGUAAUUUCUGUGUGUGCCGCUGAUUCGGUGGGUUUUUGGGUUGUUUCUCUGACCUGCUAUUGUUGUAACGGUUUCUUUGUCGGGAUGACUCUUCGAUGUUGUCUGCCUA